rnacentral:rRNA from 1 species
AACGAACGCUGGCGGCAUGCCUAACACAUGCAAGUCGAACGAGACCUUCGGGUCUAGUGGCGCACGGGUGCGUAACGCGUGGGAAUCUGCCCUUGGGUUCGGAAUAACAGUUAGAAAGGACUGCUAAUACCGGAGGAUGUCUUCGGACCAAAGAUUUAUCGCCCAGGGAUGAGCCCGCGUAAGAUUAGCUUGUUGGUGAGGUAAGAGCUUACCAAGGGGAGUAUCUUUAGCUGGUCUGGGAGGAUGAUCAGCCACACUGGGACUGAGACACGGCCCAGACUCCUACGGGAGGCAGCAGUGGGUAAUAUUGGACAAUGGGCGAAAGCCUGAUCCAGCAAUGCCGCGUGAGUGAUGAAGGCCUUAGGGUUGUAAAGCUCUUUUACCCGGGAUGAUAAUGACAGUACCGGGAGAAUAAGCCCCGGCUAACUCCGUGCCAGCAGCCGCCGUAACAC